GCCAGCCACACCCUUCACCAGGUGCUCAAUCACUAGUUCAAGUCGUGACCUUACAGUUUUCCUACAGUGUUACUUUAGCAUCAUAACAAUAUAGGUAGAAGACAAGAGUCUCUUAUAACACCUAAAUGGGAGAUAAUCUGACCUCACCAACUUAAAGGUCAGCUGCAAUGUAGCACAAUGCAUACAGUUGUACAAGAAGAUGCAAGUUAUAAUGAAUGCACUGGACAGCUGGCAUGUGAAGCGACGGAAAUAAUGAUAACUAUGCAGAUUUCCUUUGGAGAAUCUGGCCUACUCGACAGGAAACUUUAAUUGGAGAAGAAGAAUCUGCAGAGCUAAAAAAGCUGGUUCUAAUAGGAGUCAGAUUUUACAAUGAGAAGGUUGAAAUGUUGCAGGGAGAAAGCUGCUCAUUAUCAGAAAAGUGUCUGAAUCCCAAAGGAAUGAACUGUGGCAAGUUCAAACUCUUUGAAUAUGGUAAAAAUAUAAAAAAGCAACCUAGAGGAUUCACAAGAUACUUUGUGUUUGUCUGUUUAAAAUUCCUUCAGUUUCUCCCAAGAGCUUUAAAUGUAUCUUCAUUC
rnacentral:lncRNA from 1 species